AGUGAACGCUGGCGGUAGGCCUAACACAUGCAAGUCGAACGGCAGCACAGUAAGAGCUUGCUCUUACGGGUGGCGAGUGGCGGACGGGUGGGGAAUACAUCGGAAUCUACUUUUUCGUGGGGGAUAACGUAGGGAAACUUACGCUAAUACCGCAUACGACCUACGGGUGAAAGCAGGGGAUCUUCGGACCUUGCGCGAUUGAAUGAGCCGAUGUCGGAUUAGCUAGUUGGCGGGGUAAAGGCCCACCAAGGCGACGAUCCGUAGCUGGUCUGAGAGGAUGAUCAGCCACACUGGAACUGAGACACGGUCCAGACUCCUGCGGGAGGCAGCAGUGGGGAAUAUUGGACAAUGGGCGCAAGCCUGAUCCAGCCAUACCGCGUGGGUGAAGAAGGCCUUCGGGUUGUAAAGCCCUUUUGUUGGGAAAGAAAAGCAGCAGGUUAAUACCCCGCUGUUCUGACGGUACCCAAAGAAUAAGCACCGGCUAACUUCGUG
rnacentral:rRNA from 1 species